UAAGGCCCGUAUUUAUAGUCGAGUCUCAAGACAGCGUCGAUGCUCAAGACCGACCUUGAACCAACUUUGUGUUUUAUAAACCGAUCUCGAGACACGACGUUGUCUUGGGAAGUGUAAAAUGACAGGCGAAUCUCAAGUCAUCGAUCGACCUUCCUCAAGACCGCGAUUCUAACCUAACUUUGUUUGUUAUUGUUUGAAUUUUGAAUAUUUUAAAUUCAGUUCCAACAUAUAUUUUUUGUUUUUCUAAUUACAACAAAAAUGUAUGAAGAAGUAAAAGCAUUUUUAGAGUUUAUUGAUAAUAUUGGAGAAGAAAAUCGCCCGGUAAGUAUACAAAAGCGAUAUAUCAAGAUAAAAAUAUAAUCUAAAAUACAAUGGAGUAUUACAAUAUUGAAGUUCAUCAGCGAAUCAGCGCAUUAACUUAAACAAUAAAGGUUUUAUGCUACUUAUAGGAAUAUAACCAGUUUUUAUGAGGACCCCGCUUUCCAAAAAUGUACAGGUACUAGAAGAGAAAUUAUGUGUAUUAUUGUUCAACAACAAGGUUAUCAAGUCAUUCAAUAUUUGAUCUAAGAGCAUUAAGAGUGAAAUUGUGAAAUGGAAAGAAGUGAAAUUCCAGGAUUAUUAAUAGGAAUAGAUGACAGUAGUGGGUAUGCAUGCAGACACUAUCUACUUACCCCAGUAUUACACCCAGGUAAUGAUCAAGAAAAUAAGAUUUUUACCAUAGUACUCAUGUGAGAACAAGAAAUGUAGAAAAGCUAUUUGGAACCUGGAAAAGAGAGUUUCCUUGUCCUCAACAAGGUCUACAAACCAAAUUAUAUACAUGUCUUGCAAUAAUAUGUGCUACAGCAGUACCUUACAAUCUAGGUAAAUAAUGAUCGGGUGGUAAAUAGACAUGUUAAUGAUGUGGAACAAUCUCUAAAUUUUUGGUGACAUUUUUUUCAACAAUAUUUUGCAUGAGAAUACAUUAUUGAAUACCUACUCUUAUUGUGUUUGAUUUUUUUGUCUAUUAUUUCUCAAAAUAUCAUGAUCAUUGUUCGACAGCCCUUUUUGUUUGAGUUUUGGUCUCUUGAGGAAUACAGCUCCAUUCCAAUCUAUUUCAGGAUUUGUUCUUGCAAUUUUUUAUUUUUAAAAUAUCAAUGUCUUAUUCUAUUUGUUCCUUAUAUCUAAUCUAUAGUCUUUCUCUCGUUAUAUGUCCAGCUGACAUUUGUGUGUUUAUUUUGGAAAGUAUUUCAUAUGCUUCCAUCCUUCCUCUUAGAACGUGGUCCUAUUUUGAUGAAUGAAUAUGGAUCGUGGUAUGCCCUGUAUAGUUCAAAAUUAUAUUUCAUAUGCUUCCAUCCUUCCUCUUAGAACGUGGUCCUAUUUUGAUGAAUGAAUAUGGAUCGUGGUAUGCCCUGUAUAGUUCAAAAUUAUAUUUCAUAUGCUUCCAUCCUUCCUCUUAGAACGUGGUCCUAUUUUGAUGAAUGAAUAUGGAUCGUGGUAUGCCCUGUAUAGUUCAAAAUUAUAUUUCAUAUGCUUCCAUCCUUCCUCUUAGAACGUGGUCCUAUUUUGAUGAAUGAAUAUGGAUCGUGGUAUGCCCUGUAUAGUUCAAAAUUAUAUUUCAUAUGCUUCCAUCCUUCCUCUUAGAACGUGGUCCUAUUUUGAUGAAUGAAUAUGGAUCGUGGUAUGCCCUGUAUAGUUCAAAAUUAUAUUUCAUAUGCUUCCAUCCUUCCUCUUAGAACGUGGUCCUAUUUUGAUGAAUGAAUAUGGAUCGUGGUAUGCCCUGUAUAGUUCAAAAUUAUAUUUCAUAUGCUUCCAUCCUUCCUCUUAGAACGUGGUCCUAUUUUGAUGAAUGAAUAUGGAUCGUGGUAUGCC
rnacentral:lncRNA from 1 species